CAGAGCUUGCUCUGUGGGUGGCGAGUGGCGGACGGGUGAGUAAUGCAUCGGGACCUACCCAGACGUGGGGGAUAACCUCGGGAAACCGGGACUAAUACCGCAUACGUCCUACGGGAGAAAGCGGGGGAUCUUCGGACCUCGCGCGGUUGGACGGACCGAUGUGCGAUUAGCUAGUUGGUAGGGUAAAGGCCUACCAGGGCGACGAUCGCUAGCUGGUCUGAGAGGAUGAUCAGCCACACUGGAACUGAGACACGGUCCAGACUCCUACGGGAGGCAGCAGUGGGGAAUAUUGGACAAUGGGCGCAAGCCUGAUCCAGCAAUGCCGCGUGUGUGAAGAAGGCCUUCGGGUUGUAAAGCACUUUUAUCCGGAACGAAAUACCACGGGUCAAUAACCGGUGGGGCUGACGGUACCUGAGGAAUAAGCACCGGCUAACUUCGUGCCAGCAGCCGCGGUAAUACGAAGGGUGCAAGCGUUAAUCGGAAUUACUGGGCGUAAAGGGUGCGUAGGCGGUUCGUUAAGUCUGUUGUGAAAUCCCCGGGCUCAACCUGGGAAUGGCAAUGGAUACUGGCGAGCUAGAGUGUGUCAGAGGAUGGUGGAAUUUCCGGUGUAGCGGUGAAAUGCGUAGAGAUCGGAAGGAACAUCAGUGGCGAAGGCGGCCAUCUGGGACAACACUGACGCUGAAGCACGAAAGCGUGGGGAGCACACAGGAUUAGAUACCCUGGUAGUCCACGCCCUAAACGAUGCGAACUGGAUGUUGGUCUCAACU
rnacentral:rRNA from 1 species